rnacentral:rRNA from 1 species
GGGGAAUCUUGCGCAAUGGGCGAAAGCCUGACGCAGCGACGCCGCGUGGGUGAAGAAGGCCUUCGGGUUGUAAAGCCCUGUCGAGUGGGAAAAAUGGCACACUAAAUAAUACGUAGUGUGAUUGAUGGUACCACUAAAGGAAGCACCGGCUAACUCCGUGCCAGCAGCCGCGGUAAUACGGAGGGUGCAAGCGUUGUUCGGAAUUAUUGGGCGUAAAGGGCAGGUAGGUUGUCUAGUAAGUCUGCUGUGAAAUCCCCGAGCUUAACUUGGGAACUGCGGCGGAUACUGCUAGACUAGAGUGCCGGAGGGGUGCGUGGAAUUCUCGGUGUAGCGGUGAAAUGCGUAGAUAUCGAGAGGAACACCAGAGGCGAAAGCGGCGCACUGGACGGCAACUGACACUCAACUGCGAAAGCGUGGGGAGCAAAC